rnacentral:rRNA from 1 species
UACGUAGGGUGCAAGCGUUAAUCGGAAUUACUGGGCGUAAAGCGUGCGCAGGCGGUUAUGUAAGACAGAUGUGAAAUGCCCGGGCUUAACCUGGGAACUGCAUUUGUGACUGCAUGGCUAGAGUUUGGCAGAGGGGGGUAGAAUUCCACGUGUAGCAGUGAAAUGCGUAGAUAUGUGGAGGAACACCGAUGGCGAAGGCAGCCCCCUGGGUCAAGACUGACGCUCAUGC